rnacentral:rRNA from 1 species
GACGAACGCUGGCGGCGUGCCUAAUACAUGCAAGUAGAACGCUGAAGAGAGGAGCUUGCUCUUCUUGGAUGAGUUGCGAACGGGUGAGUAACGCGUAGGUAACCUGCCUGGUAGCGGGGGAUAACUAUUGGAAACGAUAGCUAAUACCGCAUAAAAUUGAUUAUUGCAUGAUACUUAAUUGAAAGAUGCAACUGCAUCACUACCAGAUGGACCUGCGUUGUAUUAGCUAGUUGGUGAGGUAACGGCUCACCAAGGCGACGAUACAUAGCCGACCUGAGAGGGUGAUCGGCCACACUGGGACUGAGACACGGCCCAGACUCCUACGGGAGGCAGCAGUAGGGAAUCUUCGGCAAUGGGGGGAACCCUGACCGAGCAACGCCGCGUGAGGGAAGAAGGUUUUCGGAUCGUAAAGCUCUGUUGUAAGAGAAGAACGGGUGUGAGAGUGGAAAGUUCACACUGUGACGGUAUCUUACCAGAAAGGGACGGCUAACUACGUG